rnacentral:rRNA from 1 species
UACGAAGGGGGCUAGCGUUGCUCGGAAUCACUGGGCGUAAAGCGCACGUAGGCGGCUUUUUAAGUCAGGGGUGAAAUCCUGGAGCUCAACUCCAGAACUGCCUUCGAUACUGGAAAGCUCGAGUCCGGGAGAGGUGAGUGGAACUGCGAGUGUAGAGGUGAAAUUCGUAGAUAUUCGCAAGAACACCAGUGGCGAAGGCGGCUCACUGGCCCGGUACUGACGCUGAGGUGCGAAAGCGUGGGGAGCAAACAGG